rnacentral:rRNA from 1 species
UAUUAUUUUACAUAUAAAUGUUUGACUUGAGUAGUAAUAGUUUUGGUCUUGAAACUCAAAGAAUUUGGCGGUAUUUUAGUCCUUUCAGAGGAAUCUGUCCUAUAAUUGACAAUACACGUUUUGUUUUGCCUUGUUUGGUUAACAGUUUGUAUACCGCCGUCAUAAGAUUAUUUUGUAGAGGAAUUAAAAUUUCUUGAUUUUUAAGUUGGAAAUAUGUCAGGUCAAGGUGCAGCUUAUGAUAAGGAAGAGAUGGAUUACAAUAAUUUUAGUUAAAUGAAUAAGAUAGUAAGUGUUCUUUGAAGGUGGAUUUGAUUGUAAAUUUGUUUAAAUUUUGAAUUGAUUAUGGCUCUAUAAUGUGCACACAUCGCCCGUCGCUCUCGUUAUAAUGUGAG